ACUAACUAUAUAGGAUUAAAAAAAUUAAUAAAACCGUAAUCAAUGAAAAACUAUAAAACAUUAUUUGAUUAUAAUAUUUUUAGUAAAUUUAUUUGAAAAUUUCUCUAUACCUAUAAAUGUUAACUGUAAAGGAGAUAGAAAUAAAAAUAUUUUUAAGUUAAUCAUAGAAGAAAUAAUUUCUUACCUUUUGUAUUAUGGAUAGCUAAAGAAUUAAAAACUUUUUUGUAAACGAAAUAGUAUGAUCUAUCUGUUUCCCCAGUGGAGACUAGAAAACCUAACUGUAGAAAAAGUAAGGUUAGAGAAUCAGAUAGUUGUGAAAAGCUAAUCGAAUACUAUGAUAGCUUUUUCCUAAAGAAUAUAGUGUAAGCUAUGAUAAAACUGAUUUAUACACAAUAUGUCGGCUGAUCGAUGUCUUGUUAAAGAAAAAAAUCUUUGUAACAAAUAAAGGACAUAAAAUAAAAUAGGCUAUAAAAAGAAAUAGGAUUUAAGCAUUUUCUUUGAAGAAAGCGUUUGAGCUCCUUUUUAUUAUAAAAGAAAUUUUUGAACAAAAUUCCGUUUUUGUCAAACUUUAUUUAGGUAAUGAUAAAAUAUCAUAUAAUGAUGGCUUUAUAAGUAAAAAUUAUUAUUUUUGUGGCUUAGGAAACAAAUAAGAAUUAUAAAUAAAAAUAAUUUCUACAAAACUAUAUUCUUAUCUUAGAACAUAAUAAUAACAAUAAUGUAAGGAGAGGAACUCGGCAAACAAUUUUCUCGCCUGUUUACCAAAAACAUUGCCUUUAGAAAACUAUUAAAGGUACUGCCUGCCCGGUGAUCAAAACGAUUAAACGGCUGUGGUACUCUGACCAUGCAAAGGUAGCAUAAUCAUUUGCCUGUUAAUUCCAGGCUGGAAUCAAUGGCUAGACGAAGGAAAUACUGUCUUUCCUUACAAUAUUUGAAAUUAUUAUCUUGGUGAAGAAACCAAGAUAAAUGAGUGGGACGAGAAGACCCUAUUGAGCUUUAACUUAAAUAUAUAACGAUUUAUAUAAAUAAGUUUUAGUUGGGGCAACUAUCUUUAUAAUUAAACAAAGAUAAAUUUAAUGCUUUGAAUCUAGUUAAAAAUGAUCCAUAAAUUUUAUGAAUAAAGAAAAAGUUACCAUAGGGAUAACAGCGUAAUUUUCUUUGAGAGUGCACAUUGACAAGAAAGUUUGCGACCUCGAUGUUGGAUCAAGAUUUCCUGGAGGUGCAGCAGUUUCCAAGGGUGGGUUUGUUCAACCCAUAAAAUCUUACGUGAUCUGAGUUCAGUCCGUCGUGAGACAGGACAGUUUCUAUCUACUUAUUAUUCUCUUCUUGUACGAAAGGAAUUUUGAGAAGUAGAAAAAAGAUUAAUCUUAUUCUAUACAAAAAAUUAGAAAAAAUAAGAA
rnacentral:rRNA from 1 species